rnacentral:rRNA from 1 species
AGAACGAACGCUGGCGGCAGGCUUAACACAUGCAAGUCGAACGGUUGUAGCAAUACAGCAGUGGCAGACGGGAGAGUAACACGUGGGAACCUUCCUAGGGGUACGGAACAACUCAGGGAAACUUGAGCUAAUACCGUAUACGUCCGUAAGGAGAAAGAUUUAUCGCCCCUAGACGGGCCCGCGUAGGAUUAGGUAAUUGGGUGAGGUAACGGCUCACCAAGCCUACGAUCCUUAGCUGAUCUGAGAGGAUGAUCAGCCACACUGGGACUGAGACACGGCCCAGACUCCUACGGGAGGCAGCAGUGGGGAAUCUUGGACAAUGGGCGCAAGCCUGAUCCAGCCAUGCCGCGUGAGUGAAGAAGGCCUUACGGGUGUAAAGCUCUUUACCAGGGACGAUAAUGACGGUACCUGGAAGAAUAACGCCCGGACAACGUUCGCGCCAGCACGCCGAC